rnacentral:rRNA from 1 species
UACGUAGGGUGCAAGCGUUAUCCGGAAUUAUUGGGCGUAAAGAGCGUGUAGGCGGCCAGGUAGGUCGGUUGUGAAAACUGGAGGCUCAACCUCCAGACGUCGACCGAAACCAUCUGGCUAGAGUCCGGAAGAGGAGAGUGGAAUUCCUGGUGUAGCGGUGGAAUGCGCAGAUAUCAGGAGGAACACCGAUGGCGAAGGCAGAUCUCUGGGCCGUAACUGACGCUGAGGAGCGAAAGCAUGGGGAGCGAACAGG